rnacentral:rRNA from 1 species
UACGUAGGGCGCAAGCGUUGUCCGGAAUUAUUGGGCGUAAAGAGCUCGUAGGCGGCCUGUUGCGUCCGCUGUGAAAUCCCGGGGGCUCAACCCCGGGCCUGCAGUGGAUACGGGCUGGCUGGAGGCAGGCAGGGGAGAACGGAAUUCCUGGUGUAGCGGUGAAAUGCGCAGAUAUCAGGAGGAACACCGGUGGCGAAGGCGGUUCUCUGGGCCUGUUCUGACGCUGAGGAGCGAAAGCGUGGGGAGCGAACAGG